AUUUAAAUAGUUUAUUAAAAAUAUUGAUUUGUGGAAUCAAAGAAAUGAUAGUCAUUUUAAAUA
rnacentral:tRNA from 1 species